rnacentral:lncRNA from 1 species
UGCAAUAUGUGCAGGAAGUCUUAACUGAGCUGUAUUUUACUUGCAUGCUGUGUUUGUCAAUUACAUCAUUGGAUUAUGAUCUAAAUUUCGUCCCAUCAAUUUCCACUGGUUUUGUUUUUUUACCACAGUACUUUCUUUUUGUUUUUUGCUGACAGCUUGAUCUGCAAUAUGCCCACAAUCGUUUUUCAAUGAAUUCGACCAUUGGUUUGACAUCAACACCUUUGGUUGAGCUCGCUGCAACUGUCGGCACAAGUGAACUUGCCAUUGGUGCUGAGUUCGGGUUUGAUAGUACUUCAGCUGCUGUUACCAAAUACAACUCAGGGGUUGGAUACAACAAGUCUGAUUUCUCUGUUUCCUUGCUACUGUAAGCUCCGCAAGUUUACUCGCUUUUGCUCAGGCAUGACCGUAAAUUUAUGCAUUGCUUGUGAUAUUGUAAGCAGUUAAACCUCUGCUGAUUGUGUUUUCCUCUCCUUACUUUUUCUUUUUGCAAGUUUAACAAGUGAAUGGUAUUUUUCUUAGCGAUCUCUCUUUUGUCUGUGCACUGACCAAUCUUUCUACAUUUUUGCCAAUAAAUAGGGCUGAUAAAGGGGAGACUUUGAAGGCAUCUUACGUUCAUUUAUUCAAUCCGACCAACGGGGCUACAGUUGCAGCUGAGGUAACACACAAGCUGAAAACCAAGGAGAACUAUUUCACACUUGGGAGCUCCCAUGCACUUGAUCCUUCAACAUUGCUAAAGACGAGAUUCAGCAACUCGGGGAAGGUCGGUCUGCUCUGUCAGCAUGAGUGGAGGCCAAAGUCACUAGAAGAUGCAAAACAUAGUUAAUCAUAUAUGGCGUAUCACUAGAAGUUCUUUCCUGCCACUGAAUUUACUGUCUGUAGAAGAUGUUCCUUGCUGAUUUGUAGUAUCUUAAGAUGGAAAUCUAGCCAUAGGGACAACUAUAGAAGAUUGUUGAAUUGAUGAUUCUUGGACAUACAUUACUGUUGAGUCCUGGAGAAGGAAUCCAAUCAAAACUAUUUUCUAGGAAAAAAGAGCUCAGGUGCAUAAAGCUUAAACUUUACACAAAUGUCACUACCUGGUUGCCUGGGAUUCGAAAGGGUGAAUCAAGCAAUGAAUAUGACUGAUCUAGCACAAACGAAUAUCCAUCAUCAUUUGCUUUCAAAGUGGGAUCCAUAGAAACAUGGUAAACUGACACCUUUGGUGUAGAGGCUGCAUCAGAGAAUGACAAUUGUGCAAGUGCAGACUCAAGGGGAUUUACACUGAUUGGCAGGUCUGUUGUAAAACAAAGAAUAGGUGGGUUUAUGGGAUUUGAAUGCAAGUCAUUGUGAGUACGAACUGUGUAUUCGUAAAAAAGGAACAUUUAAAAGAGUGUAGCCUUGUGUUGUUAAUAUUAUAGCUUCAAUCAACAAAUACUUGAUCAUGAAUGAAUACCACUAAUUGUGGUACAAUAUUUUCUAUUACACAACUAUAAAAUACAAACAGAAACAUUAUGCAAAGUAGCCUCGCACGAUCAACAAACAAACUAUCCUUGUUAGCCUUGAACAACACACUGUUUUGAGUGUGGAAGGCGAAGCAUCAUGAAAAAUGUCAUUGUUCCGCAUGAAAACAUUUCAAAUUUAAUUAAUUAUAAUAUUGAUGGCAGUUCCAAUGAGUCCAAGGCAAAGAUUUAGAGUGGACUAUAAUUGUAUCCACAAGAUGGUAGUUGUUCACCAUAGUGGUAGGACCAAAAACAUAGAGGAUGACAUGCUAUGUUGGCUUGCCAAACCUAUCACAACCCUCAUCCUUUACGAGGGUUUGUGACCUGCUAUGUUAAGCUACAAUAAAAUAUAGUAUCCCCCCUGCAGUCAACAGAUGCCUGAGGCACCAAGUGGGUUGUGAAGGUUAAUGUGAGGACCCGAUUAACCAUUUUGAGCAAAGCAAGGAUAAAAGUGUAAGAAGGGUGUUAGCUAUAUGUAAGCUUGUCCCAUUUGGAUUACAACUUUGGACAAAUUCUUAGCCUGACAUAUUAAUUUGAAAAUAACAUGCAUUUAAACCAACAUACAUGAACUUAUAUCAUAAAUUGGCAUCAAAUGCAGACACAUGAUAAUUUAUUUGAUAAGAAUAUGUUCACUUUGUUGGAACUUGAGAGUUUUUUCAUGCAAUGGAAAGAGAUACAUGCAUCAUUUUCAUAUUACUUAGUGAUUAUUUGUAUAGACUACAAUUUUACAAUGAUCAUUCUUACACAAGAAGUUCCAGCAGUGAACCAAGGUCGAGUGAAUAUACUAAGACUAUUUGUUUGAGGCUUCAAAUGAAAUAAAGAAAGAAACCUAUUUAAUAAAUGGUGAAGGUCUUCUAUAUAAGUAUUAGAGAGAAAUUAACGGAGUUAAUGAGUGCUUACAGAUUUAGCAGACCAUGUGAUAUCCCACAAACUCACUUCUAUACCUUUCAUCUAACAAAAGGAACAAUUAUUUCUGAAAAUUUUAAAAAACAUGCUUACAAAUUUUCAUGUCAAAUAUAAAAAAUGCUAAACAAAGACAGUAAUGUUUCAAAUGCAAACUUUGAACUAAAGCUGAUAAACCCUAUUUAGGGUUCUUUAAACUCACCCUCCAAACAUCACGUAGUUUUCACCAUGAUCAACUGAGCAAAAUUGCACAUUGGCCCCACUACACACAUCCAUGUGGCUGAUGGCCCAACAUAUGAGCAUGAAGCUAUAUUUUCUUUUAUGAUGGACCUUAUAGAAGAUUUCCCCUGCUCCAUGCAAGCAAGAAACAUUCCUAAGCUAAAAUUGACAAUUGGGGUCAAAACAUCAUGGCCACUAACUAAUAGCAUGAACUCACAACCUAGAAUGACAACAGGUGGACCAAUUGCAUGACAAAAAUUUACAUGGAGUCUAAAGCUUGUCUUGUGAAAAGGUGCAAUGCGAUGAGGGGAUCACCUACAAUGCCACCAUCAUUUGGUGGUGCCCCCACUGUCUUGACAGCAGCUAAAGAAUGUCCAUUGAGGGGAUUCAACAACUCAACCUACACGAAAUCACACUAUUUGGCAAAUUGAAAGUGAUGAGUGCCUCAAUUCCAAAGAGCACCAGCUACUCACCAUGUUGUUCUUCCUCGCCACAGUCAAGACAUGCAGAAGAGCAGCAAUUAGAGGCACACCUUGAUUAUCAGCAAAUAUGAUAAAGAAUCAAUCGACGAGGAGUCAUGACAAUGAAUACUCAUAGGGUCAGUGGCAUGAUCGGUAAGGGGUGCAACGAUGAUGGCGCGAGAGGCAUUAGGUGUGCCCCACGUCUCGACGACCUUAGCGGCACCCGUCAGCCUCGCGUGGGCCUCGACGGCUUCAACUAGCGGGGAAACAAAUGGAGUCAGCGGUAUGUAGCAGCGAAAAGAGAGGACGAGGGGGUAGGCGGUAGAAGGGAUGGUGGGAAGGGGCGAUGGCUGCCUUUGACGAGGCCAAGGAUGUCGGUGGUGAGGGCUCGAAGUGGCGGGCAGCCGGGGCUCUCCACCGUGAUGGUCCACGACAUCCUUAGCUCUGUGUCGCUUUGUCUCGUGAUCUAGGGUUUUACGACCAAUGGCGGUGGGAAGGAAGGGAAGGGGAGGAGAAUGCAGAGGGAGGGCAGAGGGAAAGAGAGAGUGAAUGACCGGCGGCGGGCACUCCCGCUCCUACAUGGAGAGGCACGUUGAAGGGGAGGGGAAAGGGGUGCAAGCCCUGGCUAGGGUUCAACAUGUGAGCGAGGAGCGCCUGGUAGUGGUACUGCUGGUGCGAGUCUACGUUGUCGUCACCAUCGGUGACGAGGAAGCGUUGGUUGAAUCGGGGGAGGGGCUCUUGUCAAGGGGGGGGGCACAUCGGGCGGUUGCGAGCGGCGCGAGCGGAGAUGACGAUGCAUGCAGGUGUGCAGUGGUCUAGAGUCCAUAUCACAAGGUGGAGAGACGACGCAGGAUCGCAGGGCCAGGGAGAGGCAAAAAUAGGACGAGGCAGUACCCAUUACGUUGUUAAUAAAUAGUAGAGAUAUUAAUAUAAUACUAUUAUGUAGUUCUUGUUCAUGGAUGAGAUUAUGUAUGAUAUGGACGAUGUUUUUGUUUUACUUUUCAAUUUUCGACCAUUAACCAUAUAUUUCUGUUCGGAUUAGUUCAUUUCCAACAUCCCACAUAUCUCAUGUCUGAUACCGUUUUCGAAAAUUCCAACGACAAAUCUAUUUCUGAGUUAAUAUGUAAAAAUAAAAACAAGAUUUUUUUUUAAUCCCAGUACACACUCACACUACUUGCAGGUACAUGCAUAAAAGAUAAAAUAGGCCAACGAACUCAGUUUUUACUUGCGGGUACAUGGAUAAAAUAUGCCGUUUACCUGGCCCGUUUCAUCUCUAAGGAAGGGAACGGACAAAAAAUCAACGAACGGUUACAUGGGCCGCUCUCCCUAACAAACUAGCGUAGUCAACGUGUGUGCACCUUACAAGAGAGAAGUCGGCCCAAGUAGCGUGCGCGCAGAAGCUACUCCCGAAGAGUCGCUCUCCUGCGUCCACGCCUCGCUUGCGGCGACUAGGGCGACUGCCGCCGCCGCCCUUCGCCCAGCUGCCCAGGUCUUCGUCGGGCGCUUUACCGGUGAAGAGCGCCCACCAUACCAGGUAUGCCCGCUCUCUUCUCUUCUGUUCCCGUUGUGACUGUUAGCUACUUGGCUAUCUGUAUUCGGAUCUGAUCUAAGCACUGCACAAGUGCAUACGUAUCAUGGCUAGUAACCUCGAUUACAUGCGCACACCCAUGUAUUGGGUUCGCCCCUGCUUGGCGCCGUAGCACUCGUUACCACCAGAUUUAGGUGCUGGUGGCCUGGUGCAGUGUGUUUUCCAGAAAUUUAGACGUUGUUCUAACUGAAAAGUGCUUGUUGCUCUGAGCAAAAAUGAGUUGGUAGUAUGUUGCUGAUGCUACCUUUGAAGAAUCGUGCUGGAUGAUUGGUUCAGGCUCUAGAGUCUAGACAGCUCACUAUGCGGCCUCUGAUUAUGUUGUUUGGUUUUGAAUUUACGUGUACUUGUUUUUUUUCUAAAAGAUUGGCCACCAGAGGAUUGCUACAUUUGGGAAGGAUGAGCAAAGGCCCUGUUCCAUUCGCCAACAUUGGGAAGAGAGCAAAAGGCAAGCACCUUCUUUUCAACAGUCUUUACAGGCCUUAGUUUUCAAUUGUCGCGCCUCAUGCCAUUCUAUGCACUUUGCCAAAUGAUUUCUACUGUGGGCUUGAUAAUCUGUGUUGUUCUGACUAGGUAAGAAUGCACUGAAUGACUCUGCUGGGUAGUAGAGAAUCUAUAUAAUCAUCAGUAGAUGCCUAAUACUCAGUUAUUCUCUUAAUUUAUUGUGUGCAUUCAUAGCAAAACUGCCCAUAAUUUUGUCGCUGUAUUCUAUGGUGGAUAAGGCACGCGUAGAUAAACAUAAAUUCAAUCCUGUGAGAGUUCUAUCUAUCACUGAACAUUCUAUAGAAUGGAUGCCAUUUCAUAUUUAUUGGAAUAAUUGUGAUGUACUUUAUCUGUUACGGUAUGUGGUACAGCAAGCACAUAUUCAUUUUAUAAACAGAUUAUGUGCUAGCAAACUUUGUGUUAAUUAGUACUUCCUGUACUUGUAGAUCUCUUGUACAAGGACUACAACUUUGACCAAAAGUUUUCUUUGUCGACAUGUUCUAACUCUGGUUUGGUAAGAUGCUCAAACCUGUUGUUUAGCUCCUUCCAGAAACCAUUUGAAUCCAUUUUUCUGAUAACCUGUGCUUUCUGCUAUAGAAUCUCACAGCCACUGGUGUGAAGAUCAAUGAAGACUUCAUUGGUGAUAUACGGACACAGCAUAAAAGCGGCAGAACCACUGUUGAUGUCAUAAUCGAUAGUGAUUCUAAAGUAAGGUUCUUGCAAACUUUGCAUAUGAAAGUUUCUUUGCGAGCCUGGUAGGAUAGGUUAUUUGUUUUCUGGAUCAAUGAUUCUAAUUGUGGCACUACUAUAGCCAAGUAUCCUGCAUGAGACGUAAGAUAUCUUGGCAUAGUAAAUCUUACGUUACUUACAUUAUAGCCUAGCAGAUCCUAGGGAUGAAUGCAUUGAUUAUAGAAAGCAGCGAACGCGUGGCUAAUAAAUUCUGUGGGUAGGAUAUAAUGUUAAGUGCAGCUAGCGAUAAGCAUCUGAAAGUGAUUCCUAUUUAUUUAAUGGGACCUCCUGCCAUUUUUAGGCUAAGCUUUGCUCACCUAAAGAACACGUGGAAUUUGAAAUGUGAGUUUUAUACAGAUGAGGAUUGCUCUAUUAUUUUUAUUAGCUGCACUUGUGCAUCCAUAAUAUUUUUCUGCUUCAUGUUCGCUUUUGCUUUAGUUAUGGUUCUCAUAUUAGCAUUGGACAUCCUGCAUUUGUGUUCUUACUGGAGUCCUGUUGGUUGCAGGUGUCAACCACAGUCACUGUUGAUGAAGCACUAACUGGUUUGAAGACUUCAUUUGCCUUCAAGGUUCCAGAUCACAAGUCUGGGAAGGUUAGUGUUUUUGGAAGUAAAGGAGGAAACAUUAGCUUGCUUGAAUACAGAAAAUGAGUGGUGCAAUAUGUGCAGGAAGUCUUAACUGAGCUGUAUUUUACUUGCAUACUGUGUUUGUCAAUUACAUCAUUGGCUUAUGAUCUAAAUUUCGUCCCAUCAAUUUCCACUGGUUUUGUUUUUUUGCCACCGUACUUAUUUCUUUUGUUUUUUUGUGCUGGCAGCUUGAUCUGCAAUAUGCCCACAAUCGUUUUUCAAUGAAUUCGACCAUUGGUUUGACAUCAACACCUUUGGUUGAGCUCGCUGCAACUGUCGGCACAAGUGAACUUGCCAUUGGUGCUGAGUUCGGGUUUGAUAGUACUUCAGCUGCUGUUACCAAAUACAACUCAGGGGUUGGAUACAACAAGUCUGAUUUCUCUGCUUCCUUGCUACUGUAAGCUCCGCAAGUUCACUCGCUUUUGCUCAGGCAUGACCGUAAAUUUAUGCAUUGCUUGUGAUAUUGUAAGCAGUUAAACCUCUGCUGACUGUGUUUUCCGCUCCUUACCUUUUCUUUUUGCAAGUUUAACAAGUGAAUGAUAUUUUCUUAGCGACAUCUCUUGUGUCUGUGCACUGACCAAUCUUUCUACAUUUUUUGCC